GCUCGUACUCCCCGAAAUGCAUUUAGGUGCAGCGUUGAGUUUGAGUCUUAUAGAGGUAGAGCUACUGAUUGGACUAGGGGGCUUCACCGCCUACCAAAUCCUGACAAACUCCGAAUGCUAUAAGAUAUACUCAGCAGUGAGGGCAUGGGUGCUAAGGUCCAUGUCCGAGAGGGAAAGAACCCAGAUCAUCGGCUAAGGUCCCAAAAUGUAAGUUAAGUUGAAUAAACGUUGUGCGGUUGCAUAGACAGCUAGGAUGUUGGCUUGGAAGCAGCCAUUCAUUUAAAGAGUGCGUAACAGCUCACUAGUCGAGCGACCGUGCGUGGAUAAUAAUCGGGCAUAAAACUUACUACCGAAGCUGUGAAUUCAGUGUUUACACUGUCUGGUAGGGGAGCAUUCUAUGUGCGUUGAAUGCGUUGGGUGACCAAUGCUGGAGCGCAUAGAAAAGCAAAUGUAGGAAUAAGUAACGAUAAUGCAGGCGAGAAACCUGCACACCGAAAGACUAAGGUUUCCCCGGCUAUGCUAAUCAUCCGGGGGUUAGUCGGGACCUAACGCGAACCCGAAGGGGGUAGUGGAUGGAAAACUGGUUAAUAUUCCAGUACUUGUUAUAAUUGCGAUGGGGUGACGGACUGAUGAAAGUACCGCGUACUGACGGAAUAGUACGUUGAAGGGUGUAGGUAUAUUUUUUGUAGGUAAAUCCGCAGAGAAUGCCGAACCUGAUAGUACCCGGCGGCUUCGGCCAACGGGAUAGUGUACCUAAAAGGUUCCAAGAAAAACCUCUAAGCUUCAGGUUAUAACAACUCGUACCGCAAACCGACACAGGUAGUUGAGAAGAGAAUUCUAAGGUGCUCGAGUGAUUCAUGGCUAAGGAACUAGGCAAAAUGGUCUCGUAACUUCGGGAGAAGAGACGCCCUGCAUUAGCAGGGCCGCAGUGAAUAGGCCCAGGCGACUGUUUAGCAAAAACACAUGGCUUUGCAAAAUCGAAAGAUGAAGUAUAAGGCCUGACACCUGCCCGGUGCUGGAAGGUUAAGAGGAGAUGUUAGUUUCGACGAAGCAUUGAAUUGAAGCCCCAGUAAACGGCGGCCGUAACUAUAACGGUCCUAAGGUAGCGAAAUUCCUUGUCGGGUAAGUUCCGACCUGCACGAAUGGUGUAACGAUCUGGGCACUGUCUCAGCCAUGAGCUCGGUGAAAUUGUAGUAUCGGUGAAGAUGCCGAUUACCCGCAACGGGACGGAAAGACCCCGUGAACCUUUACUAUAGCUUCACGUUGAUAUUGGGUAAUCCAUGUGUAGGAUAGGUGGGAGACUUUGAGGCUGCAUCGCUAGGUGUAGUUUAGUCGUUGGUGAAAUACCACCCUUGGAUUAUCUGGUGUCUAAUCCCAUAACCUGGGAGACAGCGUGUGGUGGGUAGUUUGACUGGGGUGGUCGCCUCCAAAAGAGUAACGGAGGCUCCUAAAGGUACCCUCAGCACGCUUGGUAACCGUGCGUAGAGUGUAAUGGCAUAAGGGUGCUUGACUGAGAGACCGACAAGUCGAUCAGGUAGGAAACUAGAGCAUAGUGAUCCGGUGGUUCCG
rnacentral:rRNA from 1 species